UUCUUUUUUGCCUUUGCAGUAGGUCAAUUUGUGUCGAUAUCAAUAUUGUUGUGACCACGUGUUUACUUCACCGUUUUCUGAUCCAAUCAGAUUCAAAUUUGUGUACAUUGGUCGCCACCCCACCCUUAUAUCACACACCCACCGCCUUCAUCUCCAUCUUUCAAGAAACACCUACUCCUCCACCUUCUCUCUUCCGUUUCUUCUCCACCCAUCACCGCUCCCUCCACCGAUCCUUUUCUUCCACUUUCGAUUGUAUUUUCAUUGUCUUACGCCUAUACCGCUAUCUUCUCUCUAAACAAAGCUCUUCAAUUCAUUUGAUGAACCCUAAUUAAUGUUCGCUAAUGUUCAUCGCCAUCGCCACCGCCAUCUAAUCCACCGCCUCCAUUUGGGAACCCUAAAUCCACCUCUAUCGGAACCGGCAUCUGCCACCCCCUCUGUUCCAAAAUCCACUAUCUCCUCUCUCUUAUCAGCCAGGUAAGGUACACAUAGAAAAAAGUAACCACCAUACAUUUUAUAGCUUCCGUCGAUACUAGAAACCCUAACCCUAACUCACCUCCACCAUCGGCACUGGAAACAUCAUACACUAUUCGGUAGAAACAAAUCCCAAUAUCAUCAACGACGCACCACCACCCAUUUUUCAUUUCUGGGUUUUGGGUCUUCCCCACAGCCAACGUGGGUCACGGUGUUACUUUACUGUGCUAUCAGAUGUUUGCUUCCCGAUCCUUCCACCACCUCCCAAAUCGAGUCUCCUCCCUUUUGCUACCCUUUGCUCCCUCCACUGCUAAACACUUACUGAUCCGUUAUGUUUCACGCUUGCAUCUUUGAUUACCUCUUUCUCUUGGCGUCUGUCGCAACACCAUUAGUGGUGGAGGCCGUUACGGCUGUUAAGGAUAUUGUAAAGGUGGUCGUAGAUGAUAAGAUUAGGGUUUUCGAUGUCGGUACUGGACCGUCUUGUCUGCUGUCGAAGGACGACACGGGGGAUCUCAUAUUUUUCAUCUUUCAAUUUCAUUGCAGUUCUAAGUUAUGUGGAUUAUGUUAUGAAUGAGUUUGAUUUCUUUGACUUCUUAGUUUGAGUAUAGUCAACAAAAGGUUCUAUCGAAUUUAUGCUAGGAAUAAAGAAAUAUAGUUAGUUUCACCACAUAAUGUUUGAUCUUUGGAUUUCAUUCAACCAAUUCAGGUAUCUUUCUCUCUACUUUCUGAUUUCUCCUCACCUUUAAUAAAAAAUUUGUUGUUUCAUUCACAGGUCUUGGCAUGAAAUUGGAUUUAAGUUUGACUUAUUUAGAUUCUAAUGGUGAUUUUGAAGUUAUUGCCAUAUCAUCGUUACAAUCACAACCGUAUUUUUCAAUGUAUUGGCUUUAAAUUAUGUUAGUAUUGUUAAUUCUUCAUUUCUUUGUUUGUGUUGGUCUAGGGUAUGCGUAUGUGUUAUUAUCAUGGUAACUUGACUUUGUUACCACUCUAAAAAGAGGGGCUGGAUGAUUGCAUUCACAAUAUUCUGGGCAGUUGGGCAGUUUAUAAACUUUUAUAUGAGGGAUAUGAGCUGUUACAUCAAAGGCAACCUUACAUCUAGUAACUUCUUCUUACUAAAAAUUUGGAACUUAGUGUUAAACUUCCAUGAAGUAAUAUGAAAGAAGCUGUUGAGAAGGAAGCCAAGAAGAAGCUCAAGGUAUGGAAUGGAAUCAUUGAUUCCAUUAGAAAAAAACAUUUUGUUUUUGUUGGAUGGAAUUAAAGUAACCAUUCCUUCACCAAAAUUUGGCUUAGUAUGAACCACACCAAUAGGAUCCUAACCGACUCACGCACCGAACCGACGGAUUGUACCAGUCGAGAUUUUAGAAUUAUUAUCGGUUUAGAACCUGCUUAUUAGGAAUCGGUUUACAAAAUCGCUUUGUAGAACAUGUUUAGUCAAUAUACUUUUCAUUAUCCUUUCUUCUGUUUUUAUGCAGGUUCUGAUGGUGAAGUCAUCUUCUAACAAAAGGUUUCUUGCUGUGAUUGACAUUGUUUUCGCUGAAAACGCAAUUGCAUUUCACCGCGUGUAAAUUUCACGAAGUUGACUUACCCAAGUCAUAAUGUAUAAUUAUAAGUAGAUUAAAUUACAAAAAUAAUCCUUGAGUUUACCUUAA